GGUGUAUGGGUCUUCCAUUCACUUUGGAAACUAGUAAAUGUGCUGUCAAAAAAGGUAAAAAUUAGGGCAGGGUGUGGUAGGGUAGGCCUUUCAUCCCAGCACUUUGGAAGCAGAA
rnacentral:snoRNA from 1 species